AAUCAGACAUAAUUUCCAACUUUUCAAUUCCCUAUAUAGUUUAGUUAAAAAAAAAAAGAAAAAAUGGUGGCACAAGCUGCUAUAGCUCAAGCUCCCUUUUUUCUAAAUAGAGAGCGACAGCAGCGAGGUCGAAGCGAGAUGAAAAUAGAGAUAAAAGAAAGAGAAAGCGAAAACUGAAUUCAAUUCCGCUCUAUUAAGAAGGAUAUCCCAUAGGAGUUUUACAAGCAAGCAAAAAUAACAGAGAUAGCUAUUAUUCACAAUUCCAGCCAGGAUUCAACAUUUUCAACCCAGAAAUUACACACACAAAAUUUUUCAA